GCGCACCAGGCGCGAAACCUCCGCAAUACACGAAAGUGUGACGGGGCCAUCCCGAGUGCCGUCCGCUGAGGACGGCUUUUCCCCAGUGUACAUAGCUGGGGGAAUAAGGAGAGGGCAAGCCUGGUGUCAGCCGCCGCGGUAAUACCAGCUCUCCGAGUGGUGGGGACGCUUAUUGGGCCUAAAGCAUCCGUAGCCGGCUGGGCAAGUCCUCCGUUAAAUCCAACGAUUCAAUCGUUGGGCUGCGGGGGAUACUGUCCAGCUUGGGGGCGGGAGAGGCCGACGGUAUUCCCCGGGGUAGGGGUGAAAUCCUAUAAUCCCGGGAGGACCACCAGUGGUGAAGGCUGUCGGCUAGAACGCGCCCGACGGUGAGGGAUGAAAGCUGGGGGAGCGAACCGGAUUAGAUACCCCGGUA
rnacentral:rRNA from 1 species